UCAGGAUAGCUCAGUUGGUAGAGCAUGAGACUCUUAAUCUCAGGGUUAUGGGUUUGAGCCUCACAUUGGGUGAA
rnacentral:tRNA from 1 species